rnacentral:rRNA from 1 species
CAAUAGCGUAUAUUAAAGUUGUUGCAGUUAAAAAGCUCGUAGUUGGAUUUCUGGUGGGAGCGAUCGGUCUGGCGCUUAGCGCGAGUACUUGCAUCGUCUCCGGCUAUCCUUGGGGAGAGUCUGUCUGGCAUUAAGUUGUCGGGCAGAGGAUCCUCAUCGUUUACUGUGAAAAAAUUAGAGUGUUCAAAGCAGGCUUAUGCCGUUGAAUAUAUUAGCAUGGAAUAAUAAGAUAGGACUUUGGUACUAUUUUGUUGGUUUGCGCACCAAAGUAAUGAUUAAUAGGGACAGUUGGGGGUAUUCGUAUUCCGUUGUCAGAGGUGAAAUUCUUGGAUUUACGGAAGACGAACUACUGCGAAAGCAUUUACCAAGGAUGUUUUCAUUAA